UGUGAUGUUCCCCUGUCUGCAGCAUGGGAGCAUAGAGCAAUCCAAGACUCCCUGGAGGCGGUUGUGCGAGACGGCAUGUGAAAUGAAGCUGAAGCAAAUGGCAGAGGAAGAAACACUCUGGAAUUUGCUCCAUUUCAUGAAGGAGAAGAAUGACAGCAGUGGAAGGAACAUCUCUGCUUUGGAAUCAGCCUCUUGCUAAUUCACCUGGGCUCAUCACCAUGUGAAACACUGGAUCCAAAACAUGGAAACAUGUAACAAGUUGCCAGUUGUCUCCCACUUUUAGGUUAUAUGUGAAAAUGGAGCUGGGCUCUUCCAGCUGCGGGGUGGAAGAGCAAAGUAGAUGUAGAAGUCUUGGGUUUGUGAGAAGCUGAGUGAUCCUUGCAGCUCUACGCCAAAAGUCUGAAUCUUACCAGGUUAUAAAAAUUGGUUUCUGAUGUAUUUAUGUUUUUUUCUCCCCUUGAAAUGUACACUUGAUCCCCCACUCAGCCCCCUAAUUGCAUAGGACCAUGAGGGGAAAGCUAUAAUGUUUUGUCCAGCCAACAAACAAUUCCUUCCUGAAAGCUCUAA